UCUUUUUAUUGUGUGCCAGCCGCCGCGGUAAUACGUAGGUGGCGAGCGUUGUCCGGAAUUAUUGGGCGUAAAGAGCAUGUAGGCGGCUUAAUAAGUCGAGCGUGAAAAUGCGGGGCUCAACCCCGUAUGGCGCUGGAAACUGUUAGGCUUGAGUGCAGGAGAGGAAAGGGGAAUUCCCAGUGUAGCGGUGAAAUGCGUAGAUAUUGGGAGGAACACCAGUGGCGAAGGCGCCUUUCUGGACUGUGUCUGACGCUGAGAUGCGAAAGCCAGGGUAGCGAACGGG
rnacentral:rRNA from 1 species